GCGCGGUCACUUCUCCCCUCCCCCCGCCUCCCGCCGCGACCCCCGCGGGGCGCGAGGUCCUAGCCCGGCCCCCUUGGAGCCCCUCCUCCGCAUUCGCUCCGCGGGUCCCUCGCGGAAAAGGAGCUGGGAGUGAAGGAAGGGCCCAGGGCGCUACUCUGCUGCCCUUCUUGCGGGGCUCCGACUCUGUGUGGUGUGGGUUUAUCGCCCCGGCCUCAGGCAGGUGGCGGCUGCUCCUCUAGGGUUUAUCAAAAACGGGGAAAGGGACGCCGAGUCCCUCAGUCCUGGGAGAAGAAUGCUGAGCGGGAUUCACGUCCCUGGACGAGAAGUUUUCCUUUCCGGGGGCUUGAACUCACAACCUUGAGAUCUGGACCUGGGCUGAGAUUAAGAGCCGGACAUCUAACUGAACCACCCAAGCACCCCUGUGACUCUUGACUAAAAGAAUAUAAGCCUGUAUCCUGAGAUUUGAACACCUAACCACAUUGUGCAUGUAAACAACAGCUUUUUUUAGUUUUCCAGGAUCAGGUCAGAGGGACUCGACACCCAGAAAGACAGUAAUGGUAUAGAAGGGGAAGCUUUGGGAGGGACUGGGCAGAAGUAAAACCAUCACCUUACAGAGAAAAUAUGUUGCUUUUGACCACGAGUUCAAUGUUAAUAAAUCAAUGAUAUAUAUUAAAUAAGGUUUCCUUAAACAGAAACACACAUAAAAUGAGGUUAUAUGUUGAUUGGUUGAAGCAAAUGUGAGCAAAGUCUCUCAGGGAAAUAUUUCUGGUAGGAACAAUGGUUAGCAUUUGCUAAUUCAGUGUUCCCUGCCUACCCUAUUUAAAACAACAGUCACAUUAUAUCAUCUUGCCCUGUUUUACGUUUUCCCCAUACUCUGGUCACUGACAUUUACUGGAUAUUUAUGUGUUUACUAUCAUAUCAGCAUAUAAGUUCCAUAGGACAGGAACUUUAUUUUAUUCACUAAUGUAUCCCAGGCUAGAAAAGCAGUAAUAAUCCAUAAAUAUUGUUGGUGAAUCAAUCAAAUAAUUUAACAGCCCUUAAGGCGUCUGUUCUCAUCACCAAUUUUCAGCCUUCAUGUUUAUGGUCAUUGUUCUAUUCGUGGUUUUACUGAAACCCUAGUCCAGGUAAACCCCAUCUGGCUACCUCCAUCUCUCUGAUCCUGCAUAUGCCUCUGGGACUCUUAUCCUAUUUCUUCCCUGUGCAGUCUAAGUAAGAAAGUUCUUUGAGUGGGUCCAGAGCAUUAAAAAUAGUUGUGCAUAACUCUAUGGUAGCAGUAGUCAUUAGCUGACAAUGCCUAAAAAGAGAACAACAGCAAGUUAGCAGACCCUGUCUUAACAGAUUGGAAUGGCAUGUUAAUUCUCAACCUAAUGAUUUAUUUACUGAUGCCUGCUGCCUUCAUUAAGAAUUAUUAGAGCAUUUUCUUUUGAGCUUAUCAAAGGGAAAAUUGUAUUUGUGUUUACUUUAGUCACUAAGGUUAAUUGCCAUUUUAAUACUCUUUUGAUGUGCUAAUAGCUCUUAAUGAGGAUCAUUAAUUAGAAAACUAAAAGGAGAAGGCAGGUUUUUGCAGAAAAUUUGAAUCUAUUCCCACUACUCCCCUAAACUCCAUUUCUGGGACUUAACUACUCAUUUCACCUAGAUUUCUACAGUUAAAUCAAAUUGAGGCCAAUUAUAGUCAUUGGGGAAGAGUAGAGCAAACAGACUUUUGGAUGCUUGCUUACUCCAUGAGCAAGUUAUUUAAUGUCCCUGAGCCUCUUUCCUCAUGCAUAAAAUAUUUGUCUUGCAGAGUCAUUUAAGAUUAAUUAUUAUCAUAUGCAGCAACCAUUCAUCAAGCACCUUCUUUAUUUUUUUUUUAAUGUUUAUUUAUUUUUGAGACAGAGAGAGACAGAGCAUGAGCAGGGGAGGGGCAGAGAGAGAGGGAGACACAGAAUCCAAAGCAGGCUCCAGGCUCUGAUCUGUCAGCACAGAGCCAGACCUGGGGUUGGAACUCACAGACUAGACCAUGAGAUCAUGAUCUGAGCCAAAGUCAGACGCUUAACCGACUAAGCCACCCAAGCGCCCCUAUCAAUCCAGUCCCUAAGCUAGGUACUCAACCUUCAUUUUCUACUACUCCGCCCCUAUAGGGAAAUUGUCAUUAUAGUUUCCCCUUAGAUAAUAUAUGUAAAGCCUCUGUCAUAGUGAACAGCACAUACUUGGACAGCAGUUAGCAUACUACAGCCCCUUGGCCAAAUCUACCCUGAUGCCUGUUUUUGUAAAUUAGGUUUUAUUGGAACACAGCCAUGCCCAUUUGUUAACUGUUGUCUAUGGCUACCUUUGCACUAAAAUGGCAGAAUUGAAGAGUUAUGACAGAGACAAUAUGGCCCACAAAAACAAAAAUAUUUGCUCUUUGAUCCUUUAUAGAAAAAGUUUGCCAACUCAUAUGCUAGGAGACCAACAAUAGUCUGAUUUACUUAUGCAUCCAAACAGGAGGGCAAGAAAAAAAAAAAAAAGCAGAUCUAGAGAGGGGGUCACAAAUGACUAGAGUCCCAAGGGAUCAAAGAUUCUUACCAAAAAAGGGGGGAAAAUUGAAGUGAAUAGAAAUCCUAAUUUGUGACUUCCAGAUACAUUGCCUACUGCAGAAUGAGCAGCCUCCCAAAGGAAAGUGCGAAGCAAUGUGCUCAUGGAAGAGUUAGAAUUCAGUUAUGAGUGCUCAGGAGAGAGCCAGGUGAAAGUGCUCAGUGAAUAGGUUAAGGAUGUAGGGGAGAAAUCUGUUUAUCACGGAAAAGCUCAGGAAGCAGAGGGGAAGGGUUUGUAGAGGAAGAGUAAAAGCAGUGGUAGCUGCAGAAUGUCUAUAACAAAGGGACUUCGGAGUCUCGCUGGUUGAAAAAAUGUCACUUAUCCAUUCCAAGAAUGGAUGAAAUGAACUGAAGGAGAUCUUGGGAGAUCUGCAUCUGCUCUCUAAUGCCCCAUAGACACUUUCUAUCAGUGGCAGGUAAAGAAUGGGAAAAGGAAGAAAAGCAUAAGCAGCACAAAAAGGCAUGACAAAAAGUGCUUAUAUUUUGAACAGUGACUAAAGACGAUAACAAGCGUGAUAAACAUCGUGGAAUAUUCUGGCUUCACGAUUUCCAAAGGAUUCAUAUUAUACACUUGCUUUACCUUGGGUAGAAGCCCAGGUCCUGGUAGAAUCAGUGGCCUGUGGAAGUUGAUGGUCUGACCUGUAAAUUUUGUAGGCCAGAAGUGAACAGGUCUUAAACAUCAGUGCUUUAAUUGUAGGUAUUCAGCAAUUCUGUCAAUGAAGUUGUUUCCAUUCUUUAAACCUAUUGGAAUUAUGGCAAUCAAUAGGCCAUAACACAGAAAGGUAUUUGGAAAUAAUGGCUAAAAAGAAAAAAAAAAUAGAAAAGAAAGUGAAACCAUACUGUCAGAAGUUCUUAGUCAUGUUUUUUGAUAUGCUUUUGCUUUCUUGGUUGUUUUGGGUUUUUUUUUUUCCCCGAGAUAGCACUAUCUUUUAAAAUAUUUUUGUAGUUGUAGGAAAGUCAUAUAAAUGGACCAUGAUUUCUGGAAAGUUAAAAACAAACAAACGAAACAAGCAACCACCUCUAGUGUUGUUUCAGGGGAGUUCUGACUCUUUAGCGCAUAUUCUCCUUUUCACUUCUUUUUUUUGUCAUUCAUUGUUCACGAGCCUUUUUUACUGUGUACUUUGCAAGUCAUGGCAUCUCCAGAAUUUUUAAGGAGAGUCCUAACUUGUUUAAUAUCCAUAGAGUCAGUAUCUCAGGAUGACUUUUCUGAAGAUUCCAUCCUACUGGGGACAAAACUCAGAAGCAUUUUUAAGUUUACCUGUUUGGAUUCAGUCCAGUUUGCCUUGAUCCUAAUAUUCUUCAGCUCUUUCAUUUUUUAAAUGUAUGAAAGUUAUUUAAAAAAAAUUUUUAAUGUUUAUUUAUUAUUGAAAGACAGAGUCAGAGCAUGAGCAGGGGAGGAGCAGAGGGAGAGGGAGACACAGAAUCUGAAGCAGGCUCCAGG